UUAAUAGAAAUGAAAUUUCAAAACUACAAGGCUGGGCUUUUUGAGAAUACUAAUGCAGAGUGGCAUUCGUUUGCAUUAUGACUAUAACAGUAGUAAUUGCAGAGAAAGUGCUAAUUUUUUCAUCAUUGUUUUAAACUUGCUUAUAUAAUAUUGUAUUUUAUAUUACAAAGUGAAACUAUUUCCAAGGUGAUUAACUGAACUACCUGAUCUCUUUGUUCUUUGAAUUCUAUUAGAUAACACUGUUUUUUGUUAUAAUCUGCCUCACUCUGAAACCUUCUACCCUUUAUACUGCUACAACCAGGUGGCAGCCUGUACAGUGAUCUUCCUUUCCCUGAAAAUCCACAGGGGCAACGAGCCCAACUAGCAACAUUCAAUAUCUGGGCUUCACCUUGACCCAGAAAAUGCAAAUCAAACUAUGCUGAAAGCUUCAUACAAAGGAACUGAAAGAUUGAUUCCUACAAGGUACAGCAUGGAAUGUUAUAAUUUCAUACCAGGGUAGAGUUGAACAGUUCUCCCUUCCAGCCAAGGGCAGAAAUGAGGAACCUGCCAGAUCGGAGAGUUCCCAAAUCUAAUCACCAUUUAUGCUAGAAUUCCUUCAGCUGCAAAUAAUGCAGGGUCUCAUCUUAGCAGUGACAAGAUAUCUGCCAGCAGCACCAGGCCUACAUCUUCCCAGCUUUAAAUUCAGUGAAAAGACAGGAUCUCUUUCUAAAGCACUGCAAUAAAAUUUCCAGAAUGAAAACUCAUCAGCUUAAUUGGCCUCUGUUGGUUAUCUGCCCAUUUGUGAACCAAUCACUGUGGUCUGAGAGGUGCAAGGACUCCUCUGAUUGGCCUGGCCUGGGCCAUUUGCCCACUUCCGGCAUCAGAAGGAAGGACAGUUUCAAAAGGCAAACUGGGUGUUGCUACAGGAGAGCAUUCAGGCAAACCACAGCCAAUCUCAGGACUCUCCUUGUUCUGCCUUGUCUUCAAAUCCUCUUGCACAUUUUUCCAGCCUCGGACCCGCUGUGCCUCACCAUGUUCAUCUAGCAUAGGACCCUCAAUACAUUUCUCUGACACAGGGAAAACCCAUUUGGUGUAGUGAAUGACCCUAGAGUCAAACAGCCUGGGUUCUAAUUCUGGCUCUAUCAUUUUAGCAAGCUGUAUAAUCUCUCCGUGCCUCAGUUUCCUCAUCAAAAAAAAAAAGGCAGGUGGGCUGGGAGCAGUGGCUCAUG
rnacentral:lncRNA from 1 species